CGCCCACGCUCCGGGAGGGCAGCGAGGGCGUGGGCGGCCCGUGCGCAUCCACCGCUCUUUGACCCUAUCCCACGCCAGCUUGUGUGGCUGCGGAGCGGGCACAUCCCUGGACUGAGAGCGCCUUGAGGAAAAGGGCCGCCCUCCUGUUUCUGCGAUUAAGGAUGCCUAUGAACGGAAUCUGCUGUAUCAAUGGACAUUUUUGUGUUUAAAAGGAGAACGCAUCUUUCUUGAGCGCCAACUGUGACUCAAGCACUCACAACAAAUCUUGUGAAGUGAUGUUACAACAGAUUCUAGGAAGUUCCAGCCACACUGGCCACCCUCUUCUCCUACCUCUGUGCACAUGUCUUGCUGAUCCUUCUCCAGGGACGCGCUUUCUCUUCAUGUGUUCCCAGCUGGCCCCCUCAAGGGAUCCAGCCCUCUGCUCCUGGGACCCUUCCUUGGAGCCAUCUUCCCUGACCUCUCCAUCCAAAAUAGCACUGCUCUGCCAUCACAUUACCCCAUCUUGCUUUAUUUUCUUCUUUGCAUUUAUCAC
rnacentral:lncRNA from 10 species